ACACCGCUGAGGAGUCCAACAAUAAGACGAAACAGCCGUCCAGUGU
rnacentral:hammerhead_ribozyme from 1 species